AAUUAUUUAUUAAUUGGUUACUCAGAUAGAUUGAUAUGGAAAAACAGUUGAGAUUUGAGAGAAAAACCCAGAAACCUAAUAUACAAAUAAAAACAUUGCAAAUGAUAACUUUAUUGGGUGAUGGAAACCACGAUUCAAUUUUAAACCCUUUUUAUUUAUUUUUUUUUUUUUUUUUGAGUCUAGAUAUAAUCAUGCUCAUAGAUCUUGUUCUGGAUUCUUUAACUGAAAAAAUAUCUUAGGUUUUUAGAGUAAGUAUAGGGUUAAAACAGUCUAGAUAAAAAAAGGAGCUAAAUAAAGAUUUUGGGAUGCUAGAUACUUAAUUAAUCAGUCAACAAGGUACAUGAAGUGUAGUUUCCCAUCUUUUUAUUAUUAUUUCUUUUGAUCUUUUUGUCUUUUUCCUUUUUUUGGAAAAUUUAAUAAACCAUUAUUUU
rnacentral:lncRNA from 1 species